GCUUACACAUGCAAGUCGAACGGGAAUCCCAGGAGCUUGCUCCUGGGUGAGAGUGGCGAACGGGUGAGUAAUGCGUGACCGACCUGCCCCAUACACCGGAAUAGCUCCUGGAAACGGGUGGUAAUGCCGGAUGCUCCAGUUGACCGCAUGGUCCUCUGGGAAAGCUUUUGCGGUAUGGGAUGGGGUCGCGUCCUAUCAGCUUGAUGGCGGGGUAACGGCCCACCAUGGCUUCGACGGGUAGCCGGCCUGAGAGGGCGACCGGCCACAUUGGGACUGAGAUACGGCCCAGACUCCUACGGGAGGCAGCAGUGGGGAAUAUUGCACAAUGGGCGCAAGCCUGAUGCAGCGACGCCGCGUGCGGGAUGACGGCCUUCGGGUUGUAAACCGCUUUUGACUGGGAGCAAGCCCUUCGGGGUGAGUGUACCUUUCGAAUAAGCACCGGCUA
rnacentral:rRNA from 1 species